CCUACGGGAGGCAGCAGUGAGGAAUAUUGGUCAAUGGGCGGAAGCCUGAACCAGCCAAGUAGCGUGCAGGAUGACGGCCCUACGGGUUGUAAACUGCUUUUGUACGGGAAUAACGCGCCUUACGUGUAGGGCUUUGCAUGUACCGUAUGAAUAAGGACCGGCUAAUUCCGUGCCAGCAGCCGCGGUAAUACGGAGGGUCCGGGCGUUAUCCGGAUUUAUUGGGUUUAAAGGGAGCGUAGGCGGCGUGUCAAGCGUGCUGUGAAAUGGCCGGGCUCAACCCGGGCCUUGCAGCGCGAACUGGCGGGCUUGAGUCCGUGGAAGGCAGGCGGAAUUCGUGGUGUAGCGGUGAAAUGCUUAGAUAUGACGAAGAACCCCGAGUGCGAAGGCAGCUUGCUGCAGCGGAACUGACGCUGAUGCUCGAAAGCGCGGGUAUCGAACAGGAUUAGAUACCCUAGUAGUC
rnacentral:rRNA from 1 species